rnacentral:rRNA from 1 species
GACGAACGCUGGCGGCGUGCUUAACACAUGCAAGUCGAACGAUGAUGCCCAGCUUGCUGGGCGGAUUAGUGGCGAACGGGUGAGUAAUACGUGAGUAACCUGCCCUUGACUCUGGGAUAAGCCUGGGAAACUGGGUCUAAUACUGGAUACUACUUCCUGCCGCAUGGUGGGUGGUGGAAAGGGUUUUACUGGUUUUGGAUGGGCUCACGGCCUAUCAGCUUGUUGGUGGGGUAAUGGCUCACCAAGGCGACGACGGGUAGCCGGCCUGAGAGGGUGACCGGCCACACUGGGACUGAGACACGGCCCAGACUCCUACGGGAGGCAGCAGUGGGGAAUAUUGCACAAUGGGCGGAAGCCUGAUGCAGCGACGCCGCGUGAGGGAUGACGGCCUUCGGGUUGUAAACCUCUUUCAGUAGGGAAGAAGCGAGAGUGACGGUACCUGCAGAAGAAGCGCCGGCUAACUACGUGCCAGCAGCCGCGGUAAUACGUAGGGCGCAAGCGUUGUCCGGAAUUAUUGGGCGUAAAGAGCUCGUAGGCGGUUUGUCGCGUCUGCUGUGAAAGCCCGGGG